GUGAAGAACGCAGCGAAAUGCGAUAAGUAAUGUGAAUUGCAGAAUUCAGUGAAUCAUCGAAUCUUUGAACGCACAUUGCGCCCGCCAGUAUUCUGGCGGGCAUGCCUGUCCGAGCGUCAUUUCAACCCUCGAACCCCUCCGGGGGGUCGGCGUUGGGGAUCGGCCCUGCCUCUUGGCGGUGGCCGUCUCCGAAAUACAGUGGCGGUCUCGCCGCAGCCUCUCCUGCGCAGUAGUUUGCACACUCGCAUCGGGAGCGCGGCGCGUCCACAGCCGUUAAACACCCAACUUCUGAAAUGUUGACCUCGGAUCAGGUAGGAAUACCCGCUGAACUUAAGCAUAUCAAUAAGCGGAGGA
rnacentral:misc_RNA from 1 species